UAGAAAGAAUACCAUAUCAAGCAGCGCUCCAAGAAUACAGCUGGAUAGACCGAUCUUCAGUAAAACAAAUCAACAAAUAAAUCAGCAAGAUGACUGAACAAGCAAAUUUAAUUGCAUUAACCAACGCAUUCGCCGAUCUGCAACGACAGUUAUCCGAACUACAAUUAGGAGAAGUGCAACCUUUCCACAACCAACAGAACAAAUAUGUUCUUACACCAAAACAGAAGAAGUUGAUCUGAAUAUGUUUAAAUCAAUAACACAAUUUAAUGGUGAUUACAACGAAUACAGGAAUUGGAGGAAAGUGGCAACCACAUUAAUGGAAGACAUACGCAUAUAUGCCCAAGCAUUAGCAACAGAGGAAAAAUUACUGGCAAAGCAGCACAGAUCCUGAUCAACCACAACGUAAAGAGAAACUUCCAAGACAUCAUCGAUAGGCUAGACGAUUCCUAUGCCGACAAACGACCAAUAUACGUUCUGGAGGAAGAUAUGACGAAAAUACAACAAAAAGAACUACCACUGCAUGAAUAGUAUGAGAUGACACACCAGGAAGAACGAAUAGUCCAAGUAUUGACACAAGAAAUCCAGCUAAAGCAAUCAGAACAUUCGUCACUGGACUGAGAAGUGUAGCUAUCAAGAAUGCCAUCUAUGCACGAGCCUGCACAACAUUAGCAGAUGCCUACAGUAUCGCCCGUACAAUGCAACAUGAUUCACGCCAUCAGAACCUCGAGUACAUUCCACGAUACAACCAUCAUCAGAAUCAUAAUUUCAGCAACCAACAUCAGAAUAAUAAUUCUUGUCAACAACAACCCCCAGUUGAACCAAUGGACCAACGAGACAAGGUUACAACAAGAAUCAGCAACAACCACCGCGAAAACCGCAGCCUCGACAGAAUUAUCAAAAUCCAUUUAAGAAAGUAGCAGAAGCAUUGGGAUACAAACGGGAACGAGAUAAUACAAGUCAUGCUAAUAUACUACCGAAGAAUCAACGGAUCAACCAAAUUACACACGAUCAACAAUCAAAUACAGAAUAUGAACACGAAGAAUCUAUAUAUUUUUCUAAGACAAGGCGCUUAUUUCCAGAGAUCUACAAAACGUACAGAGACAAAUAAUACAUCAAAUUAAAGUGUGCGAUCUGAAACUUUGCACAAAUUUUACAGAUUUUAAAUUCAUUGAGCCACUUUUGAUAUAUUUGCGUUUAAAGUUCUUCAAUUUUUACAUUAAGCUAGUAUAAGCAGCGCUUCUACAGAAAAGAGCAUUUAUGUAAGAGAAUGAAUAAUUAAAAAUGUUUCUGUCAUUUGCUUUCGUUACACACAUACCCAUAUACGCGAAGGCGCAAGUGCGAAAUCUAACAACAACAAUGUUGUCUGCUCGGUAGCAAAAUGACAAUAAGCAUAGAUAACUUGAUACGAGACUCUUUGGUUCGAGAGAGAGCUGUCAAAACUCGCAUUUUUUAUAACAUUUGCCAAUGAUGCCACUGCUGAAAAAUAUUAACUUGGGUAUUUAAUAAAUUAUACAAAACACUAAAUUAAACACUUUGAAAAUGCAUACAUACAUAUAUAUGUAAAUGCUAAAAUGCAAAAUCAUUAAUUAAUUUACAUAAACAUUUAUUUUGCCAAAAUAUGUUCGCACAGUUUCAUUUUACACUAAUUUCGUCAAGUAAUUAUAGCGCUGCUUUUCUGGCACCCCGCCUUUUUCACUAACUGCUGGUUGACGGCACCCUGAUUGUGUUUUGUUGCCAGUUCAGAAAACAGAUCAGCUGGAAGCGAGAGAGCAAGAAAAGAGAUUCUAAUCAAGUUAUCUAUGACAAUAAGAGAAUGACGAAUAUUAAAAAUUACAAAUGUUUGCUUUGGCAUGUGCACUGGUACAUACAUACAUAUGCAUGCGCUAAGGCGCUAUCUACGAUUUGACAUGCGCUCUCUUCUAUGUUGCACGAAUAUGUAAGUUAUCACAGCUAAAAGUACAACAACAAAGUUGUCGUACUCGUAGCUAGCAAAUAUACUGAUAUUACCCAAUUCAGCAAUAUUCUGUAAAAAUACAAUAUCAUUGCUCAAUUUCCAAAAUUUACAACGACAGCACAUUUCGUCGGCACUAAACCAGAACGGAAGUCGUGCCGCCGCAAUGUGAGCCGUUUCUCGACCAAACUGAGGUUUGCUGUUUGGCUAUAAUUAUUGCUUACGUUAGUAUAUAGAAAUAAGUACUAGUAAGUAAGAAUUAGUACAUAUGUAAGUUUAUAGUAUAUAAGAAAAAUUCUGUAUAAAAGAAACGUUUUUAAUAAAGAAAUUCGAGUUCGACUUCACCAUUCAAACCAGCGUGUUGUUAAUCAUCUGGUGGCAAGCAUUAACUUGUAUGUACGAGCUUAGGAACACUGCGCUUUGACAUGCGCACUCUACUUUGUUUUAUAUUCACACAUACAUACUUACAAACAUAUGUAUGUAUAUACAUAUGUAUGGGCGAAGACGCAAGUGCAAAAUCUAACAGAAAUAUUGUUGUCGGCGUUAUUUUGAUUAGAAGUGUUAUUGCGUUAGGUAAGCUUUGAGUCAGUUCAGUUUUCUUCCAAAAGUCAAGGCGGCUAUUACCAGCGAAUACUUAAGUACAUACUACAUCGAAUUUCAGUUAAGAUUCAGAUUAAUUAUUAAAAAUAAAAUGCCAAACCAAAGGCGAAUUAGACGAAAAAGGAGUUUAACAGGUCGAAGAGAAGAGAGCCGUAGUCAUGCAGGAUCUAUGGCAAGUUAUUUCAAAGCUGCCCUAAACUCCGUAGUUCUUCCGGAGUAUAGUUCGCUUGGGGGUUUGACUAAUAUAUGUUUACACUGUAAAGCAAAACAUUUCGGAAGUGAAAAGGUAAGAAAUGGCUUUACGACAUGUUGUCAUGGCGGAAAAGUUAAACUUCAAGAAUUACGUGUACCUGAGUUUUUGAAAGCUGUGUUAGAAAAUGAUUUGAACUCUUGGUGGGGACACUAUUUGGAGAAUAUUCGGCAGCUAAAUAGUUCGUUUGCUUUUGCAUCAUUCGAAGCGAAAAUUGCGGAGCCUACAGGGCGCGGACCAUAUUGCUUCCGAAUACAUGGAUCAAUAUAUCAUAGCGUAGGUCCAUUGCAUGCAGAUCAUCCUUCAGAAUCCUCCUACGCCCAG